rnacentral:rRNA from 1 species
GACGAACGCUGGCGGCGUGCUUAACACAUGCAAGUCGAACGGAAAGGCCCCUUUGGGGGUACUCGAGUGGCGAACGGGUGAGUAACACGUGAGUAACCUGCCCUUGACUUCGGGAUAACUUCAGGAAACUGGGGCUAAUACCGGAUAGGAAUCCUUGCUGCAUGGUGUGGGUUGGAAAGCUUCUGCGGUUUUGGAUGGACUCGCGGCUUAUCAGCUUGUUGGUGGGGUAGUGGCUUACCAAGGCUUUGACGGGUAGCCGGCCUGAGAGGGCGACCGGCCACAUUGGGACUGAGAUACGGCCCAGACUCCUACGGGAGGCAGCAGUGGGGAAUAUUGCACAAUGGGCGGAAGCCUGAUGCAGCAACGCCGCGUGCGGGAUGACGGCCUUCGGGUUGUAAACCGCUUUCAGCAGGGGCGAAGCUUGUGGUGACGGUACCUGAAGAAGAAGCACCGGCUAACUACGUG